rnacentral:rRNA from 1 species
AUUGAACGCUGGCGGCAGGCUUAACACAUGCAAGUCGAGCGAGCGGCGGACGGGUGAGUAAUGUCUGGGAAACUGCCUGAUGGAGGGGGAUAACUACUGGAAAAGGUAGCUAAUAACGCAUACCAUCAGAUGUGCCCAGAUGGGAUUAGCUAGUGGGUGGGGUAAUGGCUCACCUAGGCGACGAUCCCUAGCUGGUCUGGGAGGAUUACCGGGCAGACUUGAACGGAGACACGGGCCAGACUCCGACGGGAGGCAGCAGGGGCGCAUAUUGGACAAUGGGCGCAAGCCUGAUGCAGCCAGGCCGCGUGUGUGAAGAAGGCCCUCGGGUUGUAAAACACUUUCAUCGGGGAUGCGGUACUCGCAGAAGAAGCACCGGCUAACUCCGUGCCAGCAGCCGCGGUAAUAC